rnacentral:rRNA from 1 species
AAUCAACGCUGGCGGCGUGCCUCAGACAUGCAAGUCGAACGAUUAAGACUUCCUUCGGGAAGUGCAUAAAGUGGCGCACGGGUGAGUAACACGUAAGUAAUCUACCCUCGAGUGGGGAAUAACGUUCGGAAACGAACGCUAAUACCGCAUAAUGCAGCGGCAUCGCAAGAUGACAGUUGUUAAAGGAGUAAUUUGCUUGGGGAGGAGCUUGCGGCAUAUUAGCUAGUUGGUAAGGUAACGGCUUACCAAGGCUACGAUCUGUAUCCGGUCUAAGAGGACGGUCGGACACACUGACACUGAAUAACGGGUCAGACUCCUACGGGAGGCAGCAGUCGGGAGUUUUGGGCGAUGGGCGAAAGCCUGACCCAGCAACGCCGCGUGAAGGAUGAAGUAUUUCGGUAUGUAAACUUCGAAAGAAUGGGAAGAAUAAAUGACGGUACCAUUUAUAAGCUCCGGCUAACUACGUGCCAGCAGCCGCCGUAAUAC